rnacentral:lncRNA from 1 species
GUUCAUUUUGUCCAAUAUUGGUUUCAUUUGGGUAUGAUCAUUGUGUUCGGAGUUGUUUACUGAGCAGACUGCUGCUAACCUCCUCCUAUCGUUGAUUGCCUACCAGAAGAAGCAGUCCAGCUCAGUUUCCUGGUUCCAAGAAAGAGAAUUCAGCAAGAGGAGGGUCAAAUUACCCCAAACUCCAGAUCAUCUCUAUCAACAAUGUCAUAUGUGUCCAGGAAAGAGAAGCUUUAUUGUUUGUCUUGCUCUGUUUUCUGAAGCUAAGAAGACAAUUGCUUCCUCGCAAACAUGGACAGAUUAAAUACACUACAUUCUGUCCUUUUCACCAUCUGCUUCUUGCUUAUUUUAUUUUAAGCUGCAUGACUAAACUUUAUUAUCUGACGGACGGGUGAAGGUGGGCCCUGCUGCUGCUGUGCUCUACUCCUUGAGGCUUGGAAUGAAUGCAAAGUUGCAGGGCUGAUCUGCAAAGGGAUUAGAAAUCUCCGGACCAUUAGGAGACGUUGACUUGUUGAAGACGGAUGGAAAGCCGAGAGCCUGCCCACCGCCGGGCCACCAGCCAGCACCAAGGGGACGCGAAAGAGGAAGUCCUCCUCUCAGCCAAGACCCAGAAGCCCUAAGAAGUGUCCGAAAAUAGCGAAGAAGGGAAAAGCAACUCGUCGAGGGAGAGCCAGGAAGAAAAGUGCUCCAAAAAAGACCGCGGCUGUAAGAACACCUGAGGAAGGGAGCGGGCCAGCACCAUCCGGCCCCAGUGUCCCGCUGAACCAGGAGCUCCCUCAGCAUGAGCUGCGGCCGGAGCCACCGAGUGAGGGGACCCAGCCAGAGGAAAAACUGAGUAAGGGGACCUAGCUGGAAGAGCAAGUGAAUGAGGGGACCCAGCCCGACCCACUGAGUGAGGGGACGCAGGCGGAGGAACAGAGUGAGGGGACACAGCCAGACCCACUGAGUGAGGGGACACAGCCGGACCCACUGAGUGAGGGGACACAGCCGGACCCACUGAGUGAGGGGACUGCAACCAACUCCAUUCUCUCCCUGAGCAGCGAGUAACUUCAGGCCCAGCCCGGAGACCUAGGAGCCACCGGAGGUCUGACCCAGAGAACUCACCAACAGGGUGCGCCCCAUGGUGAAAAUAAAAUGAAUCUGUUAGAGAGAGAGAGACAGAGAACUCCCUCCACUUUUUUUCCCCAAGUCACCACCACUUCUGACACUAUCUUUUUCUCUAGCGUUCUGCUGUUGUGGUCCCUGGCGCAUGCUUGUUUCACAAAACGCCAAGAGUAGAUCAGUGGAUGUCAUUGGGAAAAAAAACAAAAAAAUAAAAAAACAGAAAGUUUA